rnacentral:rRNA from 1 species
GACGAACGCUGGCGGCGUGCUUAACACAUGCAAGUCGAACGGAAAGGCCCUGCUUUUGUGGGGUGCUCGAGUGGCGAACGGGUGAGUAACACGUGAGUAACCUGCCCUUGACUUUGGGAUAACUUCAGGAAACUGGGGCUAAUACCGGAUAGGAGCUCCUGCUGCGUGGUGGGGGUUGGAAAGUUUCGGCGGUUGGGGAUGGACUCGCGGCUUAUCAGCUUGUUGGUGGGGUAGUGGCUUACCAAGGCUUUGACGGGUAGCCGGCCUGAGAGGGUGACCGGCCACAUUGGGACUGAGAUACGGCCCAGACUCCUACGGGAGGCAGCAGUGGGGAAUAUUGCACAAUGGGCGGAAGCCUGAUGCAGCAACGCCGCGUGCGGAAUGACGGCCUUCGGGUUGUAAACCGCUUUCGCCUGUGACGAAGCGUGAGUGACGGUAAUGGGUAAAGAAGCACCGGCUAACUACGUG